rnacentral:rRNA from 1 species
UACGGAGAAUCCAAGCGUUAUCCGGAUUUAUUGGGUUUAAAGGGUGCGUAGGCGGUUUAUUAAGUCAGGGGUGAAAGACGGCAGCUUAACUGUCGCAGUGCCUUUGAUACUGAUGAACUUGAAUGUACUAGAAGUAGGCGGAAUGUGACAAGUAGCGGUGAAAUGCAUAGAUAUGUCACAGAACACCGAUUGCGAAGGCAGCUUACUAUGGUAUUAUUGACGCUGAGGCACGAAAGCGUGGGGAUCAAACAGG